AUUGAACGCUGGCGGAAUGCUUUACACAUGCAAGUCGAACGGCAGCACGGACUUCGGUCUGGUGGCGAGUGGCGAACGGGUGAGUAAUGUAUCGGAACGUGCCCAGUCGUGGGGGAUAACGUAGUGAAAAUUACGCUAAUACCGCAUACGAUCUAUGGAUGAAAGCGGGGGAUCGCAAGAACUCGCGCGAUUGGAGCGGCCGAUAUCAGAUUAGGUAGUUGGUGGGGUAAAGGCCCACCAAGCCAACGAUCUGUAGGGGGUAUGGGAGGACGGCCAGCGACACUGGAACUGAGACACGGUCCAGACUCCUACGGGAGGCAGCAGUGGGGAAUUUUGGACAAUGGGCGAAAGCCUGAUCCAGCCAUUCCGCGUGCAGGAUGAAGGCCCUCGGGUUGUAAACUGCUUUUGUACAGAACGAAAAGGUUUCUACUAAUACUAGGAGCUCAUGACGGUACUGUAAGAAUAAGCACCGGCUAACUACGUGCCAGCCGCCGCCGUAA
rnacentral:rRNA from 1 species